rnacentral:snoRNA from 1 species
AAUCUCAUUCUGGAUUAGAAUGGGCACUGUUGAUUGGUGUCUAGAAUUGGUCAAUGUGGCUAAAAUUGAGACAUAGGUCAUGCUUCCAUCUCAGUAAAUAUUUAUGGUGGUGACAAUAAGGCCUGUAACAUUU